CCGGGUGGGUCUAAGGCUGAUUGAUCCGCCGUGCGCACGCCAGCGCGUUCCUCUGUGGCAGGAGAGGGGGCCUGCGUGUGACGGAGCGUGCGUGGGAGGACGCGCGUGUGUGUGCGCCCUGAUCACGGUGGUCUGUGGGUGGGGCGGAUCGUGCGCGCGCGCCCGACCUGUGCCCCCCCAAGCCAGCAGCCUUGCCUUACUGAUACCAGUACCUGCCUGCUGCUACCAUCCAGUCAACAUGUGGCAUCUUCCAGGCCACUGUGAUGAGUCAGGGAUGAGCAUCUGACUCUGGUUGGUCCAAUCAGCUUGUCCAGGGACUUUGGCUGGGAAGAUUGGAAAGGAGGCCAGCUUUUUGGGCUGGGAUUGCUAAGAGAUGUGAUGAUGAAGUGUGUGGCCUACCUGGCAUCUGGCCCCAGCUUCAGCUCCGUUUACUAUCUUGCUCCCCACGCUCACUAGCCUGCAUUGAGGCCUCCUCUGUGCCCCCCAACCCCUGAGUUUCUCAUCCCCAGAGAACCCAGCAUACACAGAAUUGAAGGAUUUUCUUACUCAUCUUCCUGUGCUCACCCUGAGGACUGGGCCUUUGUCAUCAGCUAAUCACUGUCCCCUCAAGCACUCACAGUGGAAAAUAGAGUGCUAUGCAGCCCUGCAGCUUGCCAUCUGGAACAGUUCACAGGCAAGGCCUCCCACACUGAACCCUGCUCCAGCCAAAUAGUGCCAGCAACACAGAGCUACUUGUUACAUCAGCUCAGACCAAGCCACAUCCACAGGAGCAGUUGGUGAUUCCACAGAACCACAAGAGACUUGACCUCCUGGAAAUGAAUUAACCAAGAUUAAUGAAAAAGAUUAAGGUCAUGUGCCCUGUAAAAGUGUCCCUCACUGGAUAAACUGUGACAAGAUGUGAACAGGACACUGCUGCUGACCCCCUGGUGACAGCUAGCCAGUGGUUGAGAGACCGCAAGAUGAUUCCUCGUCUUUCACUUCCCUCCGUCCCAGGUCUGAACUCGGACCAGCAGGAGCCUUUGGGGGACCACUGAUUGCCUUUUACACUCACACAGAUUUCUCUUGUCCAUCACUCACUCACAGUCCAGUAAGGAUCCUGCUGUCUAUUCUGCGAGGACAUGUUGAAUGCAGGGACAGCCAUUUAGAAGACUGUCCUCGAGGGUGGCAGCAGCCUCUCAGGACAGGGAAAGCCAAGGUGACCACUAAGCCCGUCUGGGGUGGAGGGUGGCAGGCGGGGGUGGAGAGGAUUCGAGGCCACCUGAAGGAACCUGUGCUCGGAGACACUUACUCAUUGUGCGGGUCUGACACCUCCCAGCUCAUCCUGUCCCCAUCUUCCCCUUGCGUCACGUCCCCACCCAGCAGGAGGAGAUCUGAGGCUUUGCGCGACGCUGGCCCCGCGGAGUGUGGGGGGCUUUUCCUCUCAACCACUAGUGCCCCACAAGCGUGGGUGAACAGUCCUCCCUGGCUACUGUGAGACGCUGGGCAGGCCACUUCGCUUCUCUGGGCCUCGGUUUUCCUGCUUGUCAAAUGGGGCUGAUGCCGGCGUGGGCUUCUUCGGGCGGUCGCGAGGGUUGACCCCUGGAGUCAGCAAGCCAGCCGCGAACACGCUCCCAGGUGGAGG